UACGGGAGGCAGGCAGUGGGGAAUAUUGGACAAUGGGCGAAAGCCUGAUCCAGCCAUGCCGCAUGAGUGAAGAAGGCCUUCGGGUUGUAAAGCUCUUUUAGUGAGAAAGAUAAUGACGGUACUCACAGAAGAAGUCCUGGCUAACUCCGUGCCAGCAGCCGCGGUAAUACGGAGAGGGCUAGCGUUAUUCGGAAUUAUUGGGCGUAAAGAGCGCGUAGGCUGAUUAGUAAGUUAAAAGUGAAAUCCCAAAGCUUAACUUUGGAAUUGCUUUUUAAAACUGCUAGUCUAGAGAUUGAAAGAGGAUAGAGGAAUUCCUAGUGUAGAGGUGAAAUUCGUAAAUAUUAGGAGGAACACCAGUGGCGAAGGCGUCUAUCUGGUUCAAAUCUGACGCUGAGGCGCGAAGGGCGUGGGGAGCAAACAGGGAUUAGAUACC
rnacentral:rRNA from 1 species